CUACGUGCCAGCAGCCGCGGUAAUACGGAGGAUGCGAGCGUUAUCCGGAUUUAUUGGGUUUAAAGGGUGCGUAGGCGGCCUGUUAAGUCAGCGGUGAAAUCUAGGAGCUUAACUCCUAAAUUGCCAUUGAUACUGGCGGGCUUGAGUGUAGAUGAGGUAGGCGGAAUGCGUGGUGUAGCGGUGGAGUGCAUAGAUAUCACGCAGAACUCCGAUUGCGAAGGCAGCUUACUAAGGUACAACUGACGCUGAAGCACGAAAGCGUGGGUAUCAAACAGGAUUAGAUACCCUGGUAGUCCACGCAGUAAACGAUGAUAACUGGGCGUAUGCGAUAUACAGUAUGCUCCUAAGCGAAAGCGUUAAGUUAUCCACCUGGGGAGUACGCCGGCAACGGUGAAACUCAAAGGAAUUGACGGGGGCCCGCACAAGCGGAGGAACAUGUGGUUUAAUUCGAUGAUACGCGAGGAACCUUACCCGGGAU
rnacentral:rRNA from 1 species